CCAAGAGACCAUAACACAGAGAGGGCAGGUAACUUGCCAGUGGUCUGCAGCUCAGAAGUGACCAGGCGGGCAGCUACAAAUCUAUCCUCCUUUUGCUACCUCCUUAAGCACCAUUGGCAACUGAAGGGGAAAGAGGUUGCAGAGAUUUGGGGGAGGUUAAGAAGGGGGUCUCUAAAGAUUUGAUGGGCUGGGAUGGGGGCAGCCUGUGGGGCCACCGUUCAGGGCAUGGAUAGAUCACGGAAAGUGUCUGGGGACAGAUGGAACAUUAUGAACACUAUGACCUCGCUGCCAUCGUCAGAGGGACAGUACUCGCCUGCUGAGAGAAUUCUAUGACUUGCCUCGUGGCACAUAACGGAUAAACAGCAGAGUCCGGAUGCAAACCCAGAUUACGUGGUUCCGAGUUCCAGGUCUUUCCGCUGCCCCGCGCCGCCCUCCUCAGCGGGCAUCUGGACUUCAGAGGAUCGUUCUGAUGAGGCCGAAAGAACAGCCAGGCUGGGAAUCCAAAGGCUUGGUGCAAGUUCUCAGCCAUGAGUCUGGCUUGGCCAUGUGUGGAACAAGCCAGGACCCUCAGCUAGAAUCCAGGGGUCAGAUGGUCCCUCCAGUCCCUUCAGUCUUGAUGCUUUGUGUGUCUUCAGGUGGGAAUCCCUGGGCACCACCCAGCCCUGCCAGGCCACACCUCCCCCACCUCUACCCCCUUAUAGAGAUAGCUGCUGUGGGGUAGAAGGGAGAGUAAUGGGCCUCAGCGGUCCUCAAAGCUCUGCCAGCCUCUACCCGACGCCAGCACGGGUUUGGAUUGGCCGUGUUGGGGUGGGAAGAGCAUGGUGAAGGAGCAAAGGGGGGUGGGAACGGUCACUAUCCCUGUGUGCGCCAGACAGGCAGUGGGUCUCGGGGCUGAGACAGAGCAUGAAGGGUCCCCUGCCCACAGGGAGCUCCCAAUCUGAUGGCAGAGACCAGAAUCUGUUCCACGGGAGCUCCCGGUCUUGGGGGGGGGGGGGGGCGGGAAGCCACCUGCCUGUGACGAACGCCCAGUCUGAUCAGGGCAACAGGUCGCACCCUGAAGAAAGGACAUCAUGCAUUCAGAGAGAUUUAAGCACUGAGCCCACAGAGCAGAGGGGAUGAAGUGGAUGUGGAAAGCAGACAGCUUAUCCAGGAAGGCAGAGGGGAGUGUCAGUGGCGCUGAGGGGAGUUGUGAGGAAGGGUCUACCAGAUGGCUGGGACUGGGAAAUCGGGACCCAGCACUCAGAGGUUUGGGAGAUGGGAUGGAUUUCUCCUGGAGGAAAGGGAUGGAGUCCUGCGGGGUCCUGACCAAGAAGAGUGGGUAUGGGGAGGCAGGAUGUGACCCUCCCUUGGUGACCCUGGAGAAGCCCUGGGCUGCUGGGGAGAGAGCCGCUGUCCAGGCCUUGGAGAGGCAGGGGCGAGGGCCCCAACCCUUUACACCCUUAGGGGAGGAAAAGGAGACUGACGCAUAGUGGGGAGGCCUGGAUGGGGGCCAACAGGCUUGGAUUCCAGCCCCCUGGGCAUCCCCAUUCGCAACGGGCCCUGGCAUGAAUCUCUGGCCCUCCUCUGGCCCCCUCCUCUGGCCCAAGGGAUCUGGACUGGAUGGCAUCAGAGGGCCCUCCCCGGACUGACCCUCUGUGCCCUCCCAUCAGGAGCCCCGUGGUGCCCCGUGUGCAGACACAUAUACAUCAAUUCGAGCACAGGGAUCACUGUGCCAGGCAACCCCUCCCUGGGCAGUAGGAGGGGACCUCAGGCAGGGGUACUGCGGCUGCUCCCCAUAGCUCUCCCACUCCCUCCUGGAGUGGCCCUGUCAGCCAAGAGAACUGAUGGCGAGCAGAGCAGGGCCAGGCACGGAUCUCUGCGCCCUGCCACCCAGCACUUGCCCUAAAAGUGGCCUCCACCUACAGACCUAUCCGGGAGGGGGGCGGGAGAAAGCCACAGCCAGUGGAAGGAGGCAAGUGAAGGGUCACCUAGGCACCCCCCCCCACCCUCCUUAUUAUUUACUCCCCACAACCACCUGCACAAGACAAAGUGGAGCCCACCCCAGGGAUGCACUUCAUCAGCGCUGACUGAGCUAGAACGCUGUUCUAGGCCCUCCUCCCUCUCACACUUUUGCCCACGGGGUCCUGCCUCUGCCCCUCUCCUCCCCGGUGCUCUGGUCCAGAUCCCAGUCCCUUGGUGGGAAGACUCUCUACCCAGGGAAGGGGUGGGCCCAGAGGAGGGGAGCUAGGCUGUGGUUGGCCCUCGGGUCGGGGACCACUUCCUCCAGGGAGGGAAGAGGGGAGGAGGGAGAGCGUAGACCACUCCAGCCGCUGCAGCUCAGCCAAGGAAACCUCCAGAGACGCCAGAGUCACGAGGCGACCCCUCCACCCCAGCAAACCAGGCUCCGGGAACAGACACAACAAAGCGCCAGAAGCAUCCGGUGAUUAGAGAACUGCCUUUGUCAAAAGAUGAGGAGCCAGGCUCUGGACGGACUCUCUACUGAUAUUCCUUGGAGCCAUUCUAAUACUAGGAGUGCAUCAUCUGUCACCAGCCCUGGGAGGAAUCCAUUCCAGUUGUGGAAGAAAACAAGACCCAGAGCGGUAGAACGAUUUGCCCCAAGGCCUAGAAUUUCACUGAUUCGAGUCCAGAAGGAGCCGGAUUCGGAUCUGGGUCUCCAGACCACUGUUCCUUCUUCCCAGCUGCCCCAUCCCCAGGCGGACCUGACCUUCGGCGUUUCCGUGAAAUGACUGCCCUGUGUCAAGUUUUAAGAUUGGGUAAGGCCACCAGGCCCAAAUGCAGGGCCUCAUAUCUCCUCUCCCUGACCACAACCUCAUCCUCUCUCUGUCUUCAGAGGCCCAGGGCGGGCCUCCAGCAGAGCGGGAGAGAAGGAGGAAUGUUCCUCUUGUCUCUCGCUCUCCCCUGGUCCCUAGAGCGGGGCUGAGGGAUAGGCCAGUGCUCUGUCAGCAGCCCCGGUCCAAGAUGGAUGUGGAACCUGGUAGGAUGGUGUCGGCAACACUUGGUGAGAUUCAUUUUCCCCGCUGCUAGGGGAGAAAAAUGUGGCCUCCGCGCCAUUUAUCUGCUCUGCAGCGAAGUGGUAAAACAGGCAAGCCUCUUGGAGAACAGCCUGGAGCGGAGCCCAGCUCAGCAGGCCUCCCACAGGGGCUGGAUGCUGGGAGAAAGCACUGGGACUCAUUUCCCCGGGGCGCCCACGACUGGAAGGACUCCCAGCUGUAGACCCACGGGGUGGGACCCUCGGGGGAGCCACACACACCCUUAGGAAGCAGAAGUUAGGAAGUCAGAUGGACCAUCUGGCCGCCGAGAUGGAUCCAGGAGAAAAAUGGCUGGGUGCCCCCUGUCCCUGAAGCCCUGCCUUUGCCUGUGCUGUCCCCCGCAUGGGGUGUUCUCUCCGCGUCCCUCCUGGGAAUACCUGGGGCCAGCCCACAAGUCACCUCCUCUGAGGAGCCUUCCCAGAUCCUAGCAGCUUUAUUUCCCACUGCUCUUGGCACAUAUCCUAUGAGCAAAUUUGGCUUUAAAUGGUUGAAUAAUUUUUAUCCCACUUCUGCUCCCCGCAACUGUAUCAUUUCUGAGCUUGGUCCUCCCGCGCUUCCCCUGUAGUGAAUUAUCUGUAUUCCAGGGCAGCCCAGGACUGGGCUAGAACAUGAGUAAAAUCAAAGUUCACUAUUUCCUUCCCAGGUCAAAGGCUGCCUCCUUCCUGGCAGGCUCUGUCAGAUGCCCUUGUCAAUUCUAUUGUGCUUCCGGGAAGGCAAGUAGACACGCUGAGUGGAGUUUGAUGCUUCCUUCUCCGGCCCUCCCUCUCCCUUCCGCACUCCCCGCCCCCAUCACUUCUUCUUAUACAACAGUCCCACAUCUGUUCUCCAUAAGCAUCAAAGUGCUUUCAUGCCCACCCUCCUGUCUUUGGGCCUUGCUUGCAAAGAAGAGUUGCUACUAUGAUUCCCAUUUAACAGAUGAGAAAACUGAGGCCAACACAUAGAGAAAUCUUGCCUGGAGUGACAAGAAACCAAAGCACACACGAGGACUAGAUUUAAUCUGAACCUUCAGAAGCAUUUCCUUUCCACAUUUUUCAAGUUCCCAGCCCCAGCAUGAGAUCCGCCCCUCCCCGCUUUGUCACCGGCUGGAACAGGGCUGGCUCCAGUGCUCUCUCUCUCUGCCUUCCCACCUGCUAGGGCUCACCAGCACCACUAGAACACCCUCCUACCUGGCUUCCACCGCAGCCUGUGACCUCCACACCCCUCAGUGAAGCUGUGCUAUGUCCCCUCCCCCUGCCCCACACAGGUGUCUUUUGGGGGAGCCAAGAUCGGCUGACCCAGGCGAAGGGUCCUCACAGGUUGCCAGCCCUAGGAACCUCGGUGGAAGCAGUCAGGGCAGCCCAAGCAUACACCACACAUCAGAGGCUUUGCUGGAGGCCCCUGGUCUCACUCUGCCUCCUCCCCACCCCCACCAGCCCCUUCACCCUGUGGUUCACAAGGAGAAAGGCAUGCAGGGAGGCUCAAGAAACCAGGAUUCUCUCACUCGGCACCCCUCUUUAGCAGAGAUCAUGCGGACAUGAAGAUGAACACAACCCGGCCCAGCCUCUAGAUCCAACCACACACGUGCCAUAGGGCAUGGGACAAGCCCUUCUCCCUCCCCCUCUGUUAAGCAAGAGGGCAGAAUCCGAGAGAUCUUGGGGUGGGGAGCAUGAACCCUUUAGAGAAACCAUGAACCCUCCCCAACCACACACACUUUUCUAAAAUAAAUUCCUCCUCAUACAAAAUUUCACCUGCCACUCCGUGGGGGUGGUGGACAGACCCCUGAGGACCCUCCUUAAAACUCCAUGGAAGCUAGGGGCACCUGGGUGGCUCGGUGGGUUGAGCAUGCGACUCGAUUUCAGCUCAGGUCAUGAGUUUGCGCCCCGCAUCGGGCUCUGUGCUGACAGCAUGGAGCCUG